rnacentral:tRNA from 1 species
GCCGGGGUAGCUCAGUUGGCAGAGCGGCGGUAUCGUAAACCGUAGGUCGUGGGUUCGACUCCCACCUCCGGCU